UUGGGAAUAUUGGACAAUGGGCGAAAGCCUGAUCCAGCGACACCGCGUGGGGGAUGACGGCCUUCGGGUUGUAAACUCCUUUUCUCUGGGACGAUUAUGACGGUACCAGAGGAAUAAGCAGCGGCUAACUACGUGCCAGAAGCCUCGGUGAUACGUAGGCUGCAAGCGUUAUCCGGAAUUAUUGGGCGUAAAGCGCUCGUAGGUGGUCUUGUUCGUUUCGUGUUAAAUCUCCAGGCUCAACUUGGAGUUCGCACGAAAGACAGCAAGACUCGAGUCCAGCAGGGGUCAGCGGAAUUGGCGGUGUAGCAGUGAAAUGCGUUGAUAUCGCCAAGAACACCAAUGGCGAAGGCAGCUGACUAGGUUGGUACUGACACUCAGGAGCGAAAGCGUGGGGAGCGAA
rnacentral:rRNA from 1 species